rnacentral:rRNA from 1 species
AGAGUUUGAUCCUGACUCAGAACGAACGCUGGCGGCGUGCCUAACACAUGCAAGUCCAACGUGAAAGGGGAGCAAUCCCCCGGUAGGGUGGCAAACGGGUGAGUAAUACAUGGGUGAUCUACCUUAGGGAUGGGGAUAUCCUUCCGAAAGGAGGGGCAAUACCGAAUAUUGUCCGGAGCCGUGAAGGGUUCCGGGGAAAGGGAGGCCUCUGAUACAAGCUUUCGCCUUAAGAUGAGCCCAUGGCCCAUCAGCUAGUUGGUAGGGUAAAGGCCUACCAAGGCUACGACGGGUCGCUGGUCUGAGAGGACGACCAGCCACACUGGCACUGAGAUACGGGCCAGACUCCUACGGGAGGCAGCAGUGAGGAAUAUUGCGCAAUGGGGGAAACCCUGACGCAGCAACGCCGCGUGUGGGAAGAAGGCCUUCGGGUCGUAAACCACUUUUGCACGGGACGAAAAAGGGAUAUCGAACAAAUAUCCCCGAUGACGGUACCGUGAGAAUAAGCCACGGCUAACUCUGUGCCAGCAGCCGCGGUAAGACAGAGGUGGCAAGCGUUGUUCGGAACUACUGGGCGUAAAGAGUCUGUAGGUGGUUUGUCAAGUCUUUGGUGAAAGGCCGUAGCUUAACUAUGGGAAUGCCAAAGAGACUGGCAGGCUGGAGGCUGGGAGAGGGAAGCGGAAUUUCUGGUGUAGCGGUGAAAUGCGUAGAUAUCAGAAGGAAGGCCGGUGGCGAAGGCGGCUUCCUGGAACAGUCCUGACA